rnacentral:lncRNA from 1 species
GAUGGUUGUACCGGUACAACCACCGGACUUGUACCGGUACAGGGCCGCAUGUAGCAUACCGGAUUUUUUUUAUUAAAUGUGAAUAUAAAUAAAAAUAGUGUGAGAUACUAUUUCUAUUGGACUUAUAGAAGUAAAAUAUAAGUCGGGAUCGACUCGUACGGAAGUCGGAGUGAGAAUAUAAGAUUUUGAAUUUUCUGUGUGAAUCGAGGCUGUUAUUUUAGCAGAAAAUGCACAGUGUCAGAAAAUUCUGAAAAUUUAGAAAAAUGUUAGGAUUAUUUUUAUGAGGCUAGAUUUAAAGUUUCAUGACUUUCUGACAUCCGGAAGGUGGGAAAUUAAAUCCGACUGCUAUUUGAUAAAGAUUACAGUUUGGUAGAGCUUUCGGUGACCAAACGGGGUCGAAACUGAAAGAUUAAAAUUUCUUUCAUUAAGUAAGGUAAAACUGAUCAUGACUGCCAAAUUUGAGCUCAAUCGGACGUUCAGAAGGGCAGACGAAAAAUAUCUGUACCUGAGCUACAAUUUGAUAUUAAUAGUGUUUUGGGAGUAUAU